AGCCAGCAUGACUGGUGGCCCAGAGGGACACAGGCCUCGGGUGCCUCAGAGAGGUCUUGGAGUUAAAAAAAAUCAAGGACAAAACCAGAUGACCUCCACAGAUGGGCAGAGCUGCAGUGGACCUCCGGCGGGCAAGGUGGCCAGGCUUCAGGUAGAGGUAGCACAAAGGACAGAGUUGGGAAGCGACCGCAGCCCGCUGAGACGUGGAGGGCAGAGCCUGGAGCUCCAGGUGCAUCCAACAGGACUCCCAGGGGCGAAAGGCGAAGGUGGACGGGGCCGCUGUCCAUGCCGCUCCUGGUGGACUUUUCCAGAGCUAAAUUCAUGCACCAGCUUCACAGAAAAAGCCCACCAAGCACCGAGCAGGACAAACACACGUGAGUGAAAAGCCCCAGCACUGGACCUGGGUGACCAAAUGUGAUGUGGAGCAUCGACUCCAAGGCUGCGGAGGGGUGGGGACCCGGCUUGUCCUGAAGGAGCGGGUAGGUGACACCUGGAUUCUCAGCAGUCACCAGAAGUGAAGAGGCGAGACACAGGGCUUCCCCUUGCUGAGGAGCCGUCCUGACACCCACUGUUUGUGUGCAGAUAGGGAACACAGGCGCCUGGCUCAGGAGGGCUUCCAGGAGCCUGGAGGUACACAGACGAGGGACAGGGGCCAUUACGGUGUCACCCUCUGGGCACUGCUGAGUGUUCUUCAUGGACUAUCUAGGGUUGUCCUCGGCUAGGGUCCCACUGUCCCUCCAACACUCAUGCUGAAGUGUAACUGCCACUGUGCAGGGGUCAGGAGGCAGGAUCUUUAAGAGUCAUUAGGUCACGGGCUCCACCUCAUGGAUGGAUGAACGCUGUUGUUCAGGAGUGGGUUAGUUACUGUCUCUGUCUCUUGAUCUUGCCACUCUCAACACGGGAUGCCCUUGGCCAUGUCACCAUGCAGCCCUCACCAGGCACAGCCCCUUCAGCCAUGCUCCCCAGGCUCCAGAAUGCUGAGAAGAAAUUUCUUUUCUUUACAAAUAACCCAGUUUGGGGUGUUCUGUUACAGCAGCAGAAGACGGACUAGGGUAUCUUCAUAUUAACGCUGUGGGUCAGGAGCUGUUCCCAUUUCACAGGUGAGGAGGUGAAGCACAAGAGUGUUAGUAAGUUCAACCACGUGUUAAUUCUUAAAAGAAGAGUGAACACUCUAGAACUGAAAGUCCACAUAGGAGGAGCAUGGGGCGUUGGAGGGAGACGCGGGGAAUAGAGCGAAGGAGAAUUGUGUGUAGGGCCUUGUCUUGUAUGGACAUUAUCCAGAUCCUAAUUCUCAAAAAUCCACAUGUAAUGAAGAGUAAAUUGGAAACAAUGUAAACAUGUCAAAGCC
rnacentral:lncRNA from 1 species